rnacentral:rRNA from 1 species
UACGAAGGGGGCUAGCGUUGCUCGGAAUCACUGGGCGUAAAGGGUGCGUAGGCGGGUCUUUAAGUCAGGGGUGAAAUCCUGGAGCUCAACUCCAGAACUGCCUUUGAUACUGAAGAUCUUGAGUUCGGGAGAGGUGAGUGGAGCUGCGAGUGUAGAGGUGAAAUUCGUAGAUAUUCGCAAGAACACCAGUGGCGAAGGCGGCCGACUGGUCCGGUUCUGACGCUGAGGCGCGAAAGCGUGGGGAGCAAACAGG